UAUGUCCUCCCAAACUCAAGUAUAUGUCCUCCAAUGAAGUAGUGAGACGUUGUACGAAAGCUGGUACUUGUGCCAAAAAGUCUUCACGAUCCAACUGCUGAUAAUCCAAACCCAUUCUGGCAGUAUCCUGUGCUACACGGCGGACCUUCCCUCGAGGGAACUGAAGGCCUGAUCCCAUUCAUGGGCCUGUCGAUCUCGAAAAUCAACCAUCUCUCUUGUACACUG
rnacentral:lncRNA from 1 species